AUUGAACGCUGGCGGCAGGCCUAACACAUGCAAGUCGAGCGGAAGAAGGGAGCUUGCUCCUGGAUUCAGCGGCGGACGGGUGAGUAAUGCCUAGGAAUCUGCCGGGUAGUGGUGGAUAACGUCCUGAAACGGGCGCUAAUACCGCAUACGUCCUGAUGGAGAAAGUGGGGGAUCUUCGGACCUCACGCUAUCAGAUGAGUCUAGGUCGGAUUAGCUAGUUGGUUGGGUAAAGACCUACCAAGGCGACGAUCCGUAACUGGUCUGAGAGGCUGAGCAGUCACCCUGGAACUGGGACAGGGUCCAUACUCCUACGGGAGGCAGCAGUGGGGAAUAUUGGACAAUAGGCGGAAGCCUGGUCCAGCCAUGCCGCGUGUGUUACAGAGGUCUUCGGAUUGUAAAGCACUUUAAGUUGGGAGGAAGCGCAGUAAGUUAAUACCUUGCUGUAUUGACGUUACCAACAGAAUAAGCACCGGCUAACUUCGUG
rnacentral:rRNA from 1 species